GGCCGCUGGCACCAGUCACACUGUAAGUGCUUGGCUUUUCUAUAGAGUGCUUUGAUCACAGGGUGUCCACCCCCUUACCCUGCUUCAUAAUGAGGUCUCCUGAGAUAGCUACAAGUUGACAGAAUUAAGCGUCUGGGACAAACUGGUCGCCACAUUCCAACCAACAUUCCAGGAUCUGCAACAUCUCCUCAGCAUUCCACCAGGGGCAAUGAGCCUAACCCGGUAUCUCCAUUCCAAGCCAGUUCCCCAGUCAUUCUCCCAUCCACACCUGUCAUUGAUGAGACUAGUUUGCAACAUUGUGACUCAUGA